UACGUAGGGGGCAAGCGUUGUCCGGAUUUAUUGGGCGUAAAGAGCGUGUAGGCGGCCAAGCAGGUCAGCUGUGAAAACUCGAGGCUCAACCUCGAGACGUCGGUUGAAACCGCUUGGCUAGAGUCCGGAAGAGGAGAGUGGAAUUCCCGGUGUAGCGGUGAAAUGCGCAGAUAUCGGGAAGAACACCCGUGGCGAAGGCGGCUCUCUGGGACGGUACUAACGCUGAGACGCGAAAGCGUGGGGAGCGAACAGG
rnacentral:rRNA from 1 species